rnacentral:rRNA from 1 species
AUGCCGCGGUGAAUACGUUCCCGGGCCUUGUACACACCGCCCGUCACACCACGAGAGUUUGUAACACCCGAAGUCGGUGAGGUAACCUUUUGGAGCCAGCCGCCGAAGGUGGGAUAGAUGAUUGGGGUGAAGUCGUAACAAGGUAGCCGUAUCGGAAGGUGCGGCUGGAUCACCUCCUUUC